AACACAUUUGCUUUGUGUCAGAAGCUCUGGAAGUCCUCUUUACCAGCUACUUCGAGAAUACAGGUCACAGGCCUCUACAUCCUAGGUGGCAAUUUUCUUCUGGCAGAAUAGCCAAAGGCUAAGAGAACAAGGAGGCGCUUUGCUGGUGCCAUUGUGCUGCGAUGAAGAGAAGAACCAAUCCCCUCCCUCUGCUCACUGGGCUGCCAGUGGGACGGCCAUGUUUCAGCCUCCCAGGCUACAGAAUCACUAAUCUUAAUGGGCACUGAGGGGGCUUGAAUCAGAAGGGGCUUCACUGUAAGCGAUACUUGUGAGACAGUGAACCUGGCCAGAUGAUUGAGAAGGGAAUUUCAGAAUUUGGGGACUGGGUGGGAAGUUUUAGGUAUGUGGCCCUUGAGAGUGAGAAUCCCUGACUCAGGGCAGGCAUUCAAGAGCAGUUCUGGAAAUGUUGAGUACUGAAAUAAGCUGUGUGGAAUAGUUUCCAUUUUCCUCUCUGGGAGGCUUGCAUAGCAUCCCCUGACUCAGGAGAAUGAUCUGGGCUAACCCUGAGAGCUUCUGCAUCCUCAGUCUGGUGGAAAGCCCCGUGAGAAACAGUGAGGUAAGGGAGGCCAGGGUGUUUCAUCCUGCAUCUCUGUUGCUGUGGCUUCUCCGUGAACCACGCACCACAGUCUCUAGGCAUGGGCAUAGCAUGCUGCUUCUGGGCCAUCACUAUCCUUUCCUACUGCUGAAGCCCAGAGGUGGGUGGGAGCUGCCCAGCUAUUGCUGCUGACCUCAAGUCUCUGACUGCUCUGCCUUUUGUUGUUCCCCUAUUGGACCCAGUGUUAUAAGCAAUCCCUUUGUUAAACUAUAGCCACCAGCCUCUCUCUCCUUCUUUGUCUCUGUCUCUCUGUCUCUGUCUCUGUCUCUCUCUGUCUCUGUCUCUCUCUCUCUGUGUGUAUGUGUGUGUGUGUGUGCAUAUGAUUUAGUUUGUUUUCCCAAUAUUCUGACAGAUAGGUGAAGUAAAGGAGGUAUGUAUGAUAUGCUCCUCUUUCUGAGUUCUGAGAACUUCUAAAGAAUUCCUCAGGAAGGUGGGGCAAAAUACUAUAAAAGAAAAACUGGCCAGUGUCCCUGGGCAAAAGCUUCCUUCUUAAAAAAUGUUUCUCAGAACAAAUCUCAUUGUAACUUCAUCAUCAAGAGUACAGAAAUUAGACCAUACGCUAGCAAUCAAUUCUUACUUUUAUGAUCUCCCUAAACAUAACAUUAGACAGAAGGCGAGCUAUAAUAAUCUCCUUCACUCCACGGAGUAUGGAAAAAUACAAUAGAAAUCCUCUAGAAUCAGGGUCCUUGGGCUUUGUUUUGACACACAUGGCCCAGAAAAACAGACCUCUUAAUUCUUUUGAACCAUCCUUAACAUCCUUUCCUCACUGAUAAAAUACAGCAAUUGGGCCACAUGGCUCUUAAAUGAUCUUGUAACUCUAAUAGAUUUUGUGAUUAACAGGGCACAGAAGGAAGUGGUAGUGUGUGAAUAGGGACAUUGUGUACAGGGUGAAGACUGGAGAGUGUGGUGUGUAUGUGGGUAGUAUUAGUGUGUGGUGUGGGGGAGGGCACUGCC
rnacentral:sRNA from 1 species